CCACAUAAGAAGACCGAAUUC
rnacentral:miRNA from 1 species